GGCUAGUAUCGCGAGAUCAGGAAGGUGGCCGAGUGUGUCGCCGCGGCCAUCAGGGGGGUUAUAGCCAUGUGACUGAUCUUCGUCCAAGAAUAUGUAAAGAAAAAGUGUUGAGUUGGCUUUUAGGGCUAGAGCAAUGUAUCUUAGGCUCACUUAAGGAAGCUGUAGAGAUGAGCCCAAGGAGGGAAACCAGAAGAGCCCCCCAGGCUCACCAGUUGUUUGUUGGCUCCCUACAAACAUGUCAUUCAAGUGGCUAAUCUUACAACAGCACAAAUUCAUCUAACCAGAGAUACUCUAUUAUAGCAAAGAAGAAAGAUAAUUUCAUUGAGCCAUCCUGUUUUACAGGAAAUUCUGCAAGUGGCAACGUGGGUCCAUUCCGUGUGUGUCACUAGAGCUGGCGCAAGCCCAUGGCCAUGGUGAGGCAGCGUUUCCACUGGAACUAAUCUGAUACCUGCACCAGCUCUUGCAACUGUGCAGUGUUCCCACUGCAAACUACGGAUGGGGUAAAAGACUGCUCACCUCCUAUUUCUCAUCUAAUCUCACACACUCUGUUUGAUGAGGCUAUGGAGAAACAGGUCUUCUCAUACACUAAAGGUGGGAGUACAAACAAUUCAAGCCCUGUGCAGGACAAUUAGGCAAUACCUAUCAAAAUUAUACAUGAUUUUUCCUGCUGACCCAGCAAUUCCACUUCUGGGAAUAAUUGACAGAUAUAGGUGCAUAUGUACAAAAUGAUGGAAAGCUCUCUGGUAUAUAUUAGUAAGUGAUAAAACAAGGUGUAAAAUAGUGUAUAUAUGGCUACUACCUUUUGUUUUAAAAAUGGGGGAAAAUGGUGGAGCUUGCGGUGAGCCGAGAUCGUGCCACUGCACUCCAGCCUGGGCGACAGAGCGAGACUCCGUCUCAAAAAAAAAACAGGGUGGGGUGGGGGGGAAAUAAUAGUACAUACUCAUAUUUACCUGUAUCUAUAUAAAACACACUAUCAAGGAUUCACAAGAAACUAAUACAAAUGAUCACCUUAUAGAUGGUAUGUAUUGGGGGAUACUGAGGUGAGCAGGGUAUAAGUGGGGCAAGACUUUUCAGUGUAAACUUCUUUUAAAUUUUAUUUUGAUUUUUGAAUAAUGUAAAUUAACUGUCAAAUAAUUAAAUUAAAAAUAACCAAUUUAUUAACAAAA
rnacentral:lncRNA from 1 species